ACUCCUACGGGAGGCAGCAGUGGGAAUAUUGCACAAUGGGAAGCCAUCGAUGCAGCCAUGCCGCGCUGUGUGAAGAAGGCCAGAUCGGGCUUGGUAAAGACACUUUCAGUAGGGAGGAAGGUAGUGUAGUUAACACCUGCACUAUUUGACGUUACCUACAGAAGAAGCACCGGCUAACUCCGUGCCAGCAGCCGCGGUAAUACGGAGGGUGCGAGCGUUAAUCGGAAUUACUGGGCGUAAAGCGCAUGCAGGCGGCCUGUUAAGUCAGAUGUGAAAG
rnacentral:rRNA from 1 species